AUGAGCAAGGAUGUGGUUGCAUGUGAAGUCUAGCUUUGGCCUGAUCCAUGGACGGUUCUGGAGCUGUAUUGUUCAGUAUGGUAGCCAUUAGCCACAUGUAGCUAUUUAAGUUUAAAUUAAUUAAAAGGAGUUAAAAUUUACAGCUCAGUUCUUUAGUCACAUGCCAAGUGCUCAAUGACCACAGAAACUCAUAGGUAAAGUAAUCAGCCACAUCAAUCAUAGGAGCCCGAAACUCACCAUCAGUUAAAGGUAUCUGGAGAGAGUACCAAUUGUGAGUACUACCGAUGGUAUGUAAGCAGACAUGAGCUGCAUGCAAUGCUAUUGGCGGAGAGGUUAGGUAACACUCCUUUUUUGCUAAUCCACAUUGGGAAUUUAGAAUCUCCCGAGACUGCUCCUAAGGAGCACCUUUAUUUCCUAACAAUCCGUAGAGUUCAGACACAUACCAACUAUAUAAACAUAUCUGAUAGGCGGGUCACUCCAGUGAUCCUCAGAUUGCAGGGGGGAAAAUGGAGGCUCAGAGAGCAGACUCAAAGGGAGAAAGGGACCUGGCGCAAUGAGUAAGAACUAGAAAAAAAGUGCCUGAAUGUCAAAGAGAACUGGUGGGGACAGAGGUCUGACUCUGGACAGAACUUGAAGCUGCUGCUGGAACUGUCUCAUCCAGCCACUGUGUCCUACAAGAAAGAAAGAAGAGGGUUCAUGCAUCAUGACGAAAUACCAGCUGCUCUAAAUGACUUCAAAUUUGCCUGAUCCAAACGAGUUGCAUACCAGGUAUAGAUGUCGGGACUUGGUCAGUUACGAACGACAGAAACCUGAGUAAAACCAGCUUACGCAGAAAGAGAUUUUUUUUUGAUUCAGAUAACUGGGAAGGAUCCUGGGCUAGUUUAGAGGGUGGAAGGAAGAGCCCAAGAAUCUAGGGCCUCAGAGACUUGAACUCUGGACUCAAGGUCAACCAGACUCUCUCUCCAUUCAGUUCCCAAGCCAGUUUGUCACAACUUUUUUGACAUAUUUACCUUUUCCUGUCUUACUGCAGACAGAACUUUACAAUACCUUUAAUCUCCCCAGCAGCCUGAGUCACAUGCUAUCAUGCAGCUCAGCCAGCUCAGGUCAGGUCCUCACUUCUCUGCUCCAUCACUGAUUUGAUCCUGGGGGGUGAUGGGAGGGGAAUGCCAGCAGGAAGAGAUCUGUGUAUUGCAUCCCUGGAGGACACUGAUUAGUGCUGCUUGCAUCUUAUACCCAUUUCAUGGCCCAGCAUGUAAUGGACAAUCAAUAAAUACUCUUGAAUGUAUGAGUAAGGCUUUCAUAAAUAAUGUGACAGAGGUAGCUCUCAUUGUUGUAAAUUAAUAAAUUUUAGUUUACGUCUCUAUCUGGA